rnacentral:rRNA from 1 species
CGUAUGGUGCAAGCGUUAUCCGGAUUUACUGGGUGUAAGGGAGCGUAGACGGUUGUGUAAGUCUGAUGUGAAGCCCGGGCUCAACCCGGGACUGCAUUGGAACUAUGUAACUAGAGUGUCGGAGAGGUAAGCGGAAUUCCUAGUGUAGCGGUGAAAUGCGUAGAUAUUAGGAGGAACACCAGUGGCGAAGGCGGCUUACUGGACGAUCACUGACGUUGAGGCUCGAAAGCGUGGGAGCAAACAGGAUU